rnacentral:rRNA from 1 species
GGUGCAUGGCCGCGGGAUUUGCAGAGUUUGAUCCUGGCUCAGGACGAACGCUGGCGGCGUGCUUAACACAUGCAAGUCGAGCGGAAAGGCCCUUUCGGGGGUACUCGAGCGGCGAACGGGUGAGUAACACGUGAGUAAUCUGCCCUUGGCUUCGGGAUAACUACUGGAAACGGUGGCUAAUACCGGAUACGACCAACUUCGGCAUCGGAUGUUGGUGGAAAGUUUUUUCGGCCAGGGAUGUGCUCGCGGCCUAUCAGCUUGUUGGUGGGGUAAUGGCCUACCAAGGCUUCGACGGGUAGCCGGCCUGAGAGGGUGACCGGCCACACUGGGACUGAGACACGGCCCAGACUCCUACGGGAGGCAGCAGUGGGGAAUAUUGGACAAUGGGCGGAAGCCUGAUCCAGCAACGCCGCGUGAGGGAUGACGCCUUCGGGUUGUAAACCUCUUUCAGUACCGACGAANCGCCGAUGAUGGUGGUGACGGUAGGUACAGAAAAACACCGGCCAACUACUNCCACACCGCGGUAAUACNUAGGUGCGAGCUUGUCCGGAAUUAUUGGGCUUAAAGGCUCGUAGGCGGUUUGUCCCUC